AGAGAAACUGGCAGGCAACUUCCUUGGGGAUUAGGUGUGAUAGAGGGUAGGUACCCAGGAUUGUGCUAUUUUUCUGGUACAAUAAUGUUGGCCAGGGUCACAACCACAUGCAACCAUGAUAGUGGCUUUCUCUGAUUUUUGCCAUAGAGCUUGCUUUCCUUUUUGACAGAGCCUGUAGGCAUGAUGCAUUCCCACUCUUUGCUCCAAAUCAGGUAAGUUCCCUGAAGCAGCAAAACUGCUGCCUUUCAUGCUUUGCCCAGCCCAGGUAGAACAGCUGUGCAGAUGGAAGUGGAGGGGGCUUUGGUAUGGGGAUGGCUCCAAGCUCAAAUGCCACUUCCUCUGUUCUUACCCCAAGUUCAGUAGUUCUUGUUGAAUAAAGCUUUCUUGUAAGCCUUUGGGCUUUUUCUAGGCUCCUGAAAAGAGCUGGGACAAUUUUGUGCCAUUUUAUCAUUGUUUUUGGAGAGAGGAAUUGCUGAACUCCUCACUCUACUGUUUUGGAAGUUCUGCAUUCUGGGUCCAAUUUUUAUUUUUAUUUAUUUUUUAAAUUUCUUUUCAGUGUUCCAGAAUUCAUUGUUUAUGCACCACACAAGCCCUCUAAGUACCCACCACCAGGUUAACCCAACCUCCCACCCCCCGGCAUUCCAAAACCCUCAGGUUGUUUUUCAGAGUCCACAGUCUCUCAUGGUUUGUCUCCCUCUCCAGUUUCCCCCAACUCUCUUCUCCUCUCCAUCUCCCCAGGUCCUCCGUGUUAUUCCUUAUGCUCCACAAAUAAGUGAAACCAUAUGAUAAUUGACUCUCUCUGCUUGACUUACUUCACUCAGCAUAAUCUCUUCCAGUCCUGUCCAUGUUGCUACAAAAGUUGGGUAUUCAUCCUUUCUGAUGGAGGCAUAAUACUUCAUAGUGUAUAUGGACCACAUCUUCCUUAUCCAUUCAUCCAUCGAAGGGCAUCUUGGUUCUUUCCACAGUUUGGCGAUGGUGGCCUUUGCUGCUAUGAACAUUGGGAUUAAUAAUUGGAAACAUGAGUGCCUUGUGCAGUUAUGACAGAUUGUUGGUGUCAGAACUGGGUUUGGAAAUGGAUCAUUCACAAGGCAGUCAUUGCUUCCUCUUUCCCCGUGAGGGACAGGUACUGACAUCCUUUCUCUGCAGGCUCAACUC
rnacentral:lncRNA from 1 species